rnacentral:lncRNA from 1 species
UUUGGUUUAGGAUUUGAUUAGGGUUUGGUUUAGGGUUUAGGAUUUAUUUAGGAUUUGAUUUAGGAUUAGGAUUUGGUUUACGGUUAGAUUUUGAUUUAGGAUUUGGAUUAGAAUUUAGGAUUUGGUUAGGAUUUAUUUAGGGUUUAGAGUUUGAUUUAGGGUUUGGAUUAGGGUUUGGUUUAGGGUUUAGGAUCUAGGAUUUGAUUUAGGAUUUGGUUAGAAUUUUAUUUAGGAUUUAGGAUUUGGAUAGGGUUUAGUUUAGGGUUUAGGAUUUGGAUUAGAAUUUGGUUUAGGGUUUAGGGUUUAAUUAGGAUUUUAUUUAGGGUUUAGGAUGUGAUUAGGAUUUGAUUUAGGAUUUAGGAUUUGGAUUAGGAUUUGGAUUAGAGUUUGGUUAGGAUUUGGUUUAGGAUUUGGUUGGGAUUUGAUUUAAGAUUUGUUUAGGGUUUGAUUUAGGAUUUAAGAUUUUAUUAGGAUUUAAGAUUUAAUUAAUUUUGGCCUAAAGUUUGAAUGAAGUUCAAUAGGAUUUUAACUAGAAUUAAAUUAUGAUUGAAUUGAGAUGUAUU